AACGCGAAGAACCUUACCUGGGCUCGAAAUGUAGUGGAAUCCGGUAGAAAUAUCGGCGUCUAGCAAUAGACCGCUAUAUAGGUGCUGCAUGGCUGUCGUCAGCUCGUGUCGUGAGAUGUUGGGUUAAGUCCCGCAACGAGCGCAACCCUUAUCUACAGUUGCCACCACGCAAGUGGGGAACUCUGUCGAAACCGCCUCGGAUAACGGGGAGGAAGGUGGGGAUGACGUCAAGUCCUCAUGGCCUUUAUGUCCAGGGCUACACACGUGCUACAAUGGCCGGUACAAACCGCUGCAAACCCGCGAGGGGGAGCUAAUCGGAAAAAGCCGGCCUCAGUUCGGAUUGGAGUCUGCAACUCGACUCCAUGAAGCUGGAAUCGCUAGUAAUCGUGGAUCAGCAUGCCACGGUGAAUACGUUCCCGGGCCUUGUACACACCGACAUA
rnacentral:rRNA from 1 species